rnacentral:rRNA from 1 species
GAUGAACGCUGGCGGCGUGCCUAAUACAUGCAAGUCGAGCGAACAGACGAGGAGCUUGCUCCUCUGACGUUAGCGGCGGACGGGUGAGUAACACGUGGAUAACCUACCUAUAAGACUGGGAUAACUUCGGGAAACCGGAGCUAAUACCGGAUAAUAUAUUGAACCGCAUGGUUCAAUAGUGAAAGACGGUUUUGCUGUCACUUAUAGAUGGAUCCGCGCCGCAUUAGCUAGUUGGUAAGGUAACGGCUUACCAAGGCAACGAUGCGUAGCCGACCUGAGAGGGUGAUCGGCCACACUGGAACUGAGACACGGUCCAGACUCCUACGGGAGGCAGCAGUAGGGAAUCUUCCGCAAUGGGCGAAAGCCUGACGGAGCAACGCCGCGUGAGUGAUGAAGGUCUUCGGAUCGUAAAACUCUGUUAUUAGGGAAGAACAAAUGUGUAAGUAACGAUGCACGUCUUGACGGGACCUAAUCAGAAAGCCACGGCUAACUACGU